rnacentral:rRNA from 1 species
GUAGGUGGCAAGCGUUGUCCGGAAUUAUUGGGCGUAAAGCGCGCGCAGGCGGUUCUUUAAGUCUGAUGUGAAAGCCCACGGCUCAGCCGUGGAGGGUCAUUGGAAACUGGAGAACUUGAGUACAGAAGAGGAAAGCGGAAUUCCACGUGUAGCGGUGAAAUGCGUAGAGAUGUGGAGGAACACCAGUGGCGAAGGCGGCUUUCUGGUCUGUAACUGACGCUGAGGCGCGAAAGCGUGGGGGAGCAAACAGGAUUAGAUACCCUGGUAGUCCACGCCGUAAACGAUGAGUGCUAAGUGUUAGGGGGUUUUCCGCCCCUUAGUGCUGCAGCUAACGCAUUAAGCACUCCGCCUGGGAGUACGGCCGCAAGGCUG